CGGGUAGUAUCCAAAAGGAACUGCACCUUGCUUACAUUUAUUAUUAAUAGAAUAUUGUUCUGCCUUGAUCCAUGAAUUGGACGGGGACGGAGGA
rfam:Bacillus sp. VT-16-70 Bacillus_obstructivus_contig166, whole genome shotgun sequence.